UACGUAGGCAGCGAGCGUUGUUCGGAAUUACUGGGCGUAAAGAGUGUGUAGGCGGUGUUCCCAGUCUGUUGUGAAAUCUCCCGGCUUAACUGGGAGGGUGCAGCGGAAACUAGAAUGCUAGAGGGUGGGAGAGGUAAGCGGAAUUCCUGGUGUAGCGGUGAAAUGCGUAGAUAUCAGGAGGAACACCAAUGGCGAAGGCAGCUCGCUGGGACGGUACUGACACUGAGACGCGAAAGCGUGGGGAGCAAACAGG
rnacentral:rRNA from 1 species